CACAGAUAUCUGUUUUAACCCUAAAACUUUUCAAAUUUUGGCAUGCUGUUAUAUAUACAGUUGCAAGAAAAAGUAUGUGAACCCUUUGGAAUAAUAUGGAUUUCUGCACAAAUUGGUCAUAAAAUGUGAUCUGAUCAUCAUCUAAGUCACAACAACAGACAAUCACAGUCUGCUUAAACUCAUAACACACAAAGAAUGAAAUGUUGCC